AAAUCCCCCAAAUCCAAACCCUGAGCUCGAAAUCAAGGUCCUUCACGCCGUUGCUAAUUACUCAAACAGCCUACGCAAGCAUGAAGAAGCAGCUCCCAUUCCGUUUCUGUAGUUCUCGCAAUGGACGGACAACGUGAAGGGGAAAUUUGUUGCAACCACAUGGAAUGGAGCAUCUAUAGGCGAAACCCCUUGUGCAGCUAACAAAAUGUAAACGAAGCCGGACCAAAUGUUGCAGCUCAUGUACCAACUGAGCAAGUCAACUUAAUUGAAAUGGAGGAAGAAUUGGCACACAUAGAUGAGGCGACUUCUUUGAAUGUCAUAUCGGGAAGACCAAGAACAAGAUGAAGUUCGAAGAAGCCAAGAGCAAAAUUCACACGGUGUACACGCAGAAGCACACAUCAGCUUAAUUUGCAUAAUAUGAAGCAAGAUGAAGUUGGAAGAAAUUUUGUUUUUGUUGGAAGUCUGUAGUGUAACAAUCGAUAGAAGUGUUUUAGAAGCCGUUUAAGGCAUGUCUCAGUUGUUAAGGGAUAAUUGCUGUUGAACUUUCCAUAUCUGGAUUUGAUCAACCUUUGAAUGUAUCUGUUGAGCUUGCUGUUAAUAACAAACCUCAUGACAAAGUCAUGCAAUGUUCUUACUUCUCUUA